rnacentral:rRNA from 1 species
CAGCCGCCGCGGUAAUACCGGCGGCCCGAGUGGCGGCCACUAUUAUUGGGCUUAAAGCGUCCGUAGCCGGGUUGGUUAGUCUCCCGGGAAAUCUGGCCGCUUAACGGUCAGAAUUCCGGGAGAUACUGCCAGCCUAGGGACCGGGAGAGGCCGAGGGUAUUCCCGGAGUAGGGGUGAAAUCCUAUAAUCCCGGGAGGACCACCUGUGGCGAAGGCGCUCGGCUGGAACGGGUCCGACGGUGAGGGACGAAGGCCAGGGGAGCAAACCGGAGUAGAUACCCGGGUAGUCCUGGCGGUAAACGAUGCGGACGUUGUGUCGGACAAGCUAUGAGCUUGUGCGGUGCCGGAGGGAAACCGUUAAGUCCGCCGCCUGGGGAGUACGGCCGCAAGGCUGAAACUUAAAGGAAUUGGCGGG